UUUUUUCCCUGCUCACAUUUGAUGCACUUUGAAUCUGUUCAGUUACAGACUAAAAAACACUGUUAUUAAUAAAGUUAUUCUUUAUUGUAAGUUGAUCUUUCUUUUUUAUUUAUUUUUUGUUUUUCCUUUAAUGUUAAUAACAUGGGGGGGGGGGGGGGGGGGGGGCGCAAA